UUAAAUAUGGCUGUCCAUAUCCCUGGAGGUAUAGGUGCAGCUGGUUCUGGAACCCUAACUGUCAUAAAGAAAACAAGACGACUUGCAUUUGCAGCUGCUGAUCCAUUCCUUUUACUAGCAGUAUGGACCACCAAGCAUGAUUAAUAUUACAAAACGUCAUGCUGCUUAUGACAUAGCUCGAUGGUUUAACUGAAUGCUGUAAGAAACGGAAAUUUUUCCGCCGAUGGACCAUUGACGAGUUUUUCAGGUUUUUACUAUACUCUCAUGCAUGUUAGUGAAUAAAUCUAUGAUUUUCGCUAAUCCUGACUUUAA